ACGGCCUUGGCGCAAUGGAAGCGCAUUGGAAUCCGGAUCCAAAGGCUGCGGGUUCAAGUCCCGUGGGUCGUG
rnacentral:tRNA from 1 species